CGUCAUCAGAAAAACAAUAUACAGAAAGUGACAUUUUAAUUUGCACAAUGAGGUGAAAAAUCGAGAGGGAAAAUCCGGAAAACUAACACCGAUAACACGAAUAAAUAAAGUAGAAUAUGAACCUGACACUGCAACAACAAUCUGAAACUGGCGCUUAUCUACACUACUUAUUUGAUAUCAAAACUAAGUACGAGUAAUCAGAUAUCCAGUUUGAUAAAAAUGCAAAUCCACACUUCAAGUGCCUCAAGUAAUCUAAAGAAUCGUGUCUUCAUCCAGCUCGUGUCCCAACAUCUCCAGGAUGGUGCCGAUCAUGUCUGUGCUGAUGAUGCCUUUCUUCUCGUGGUCGA